UUUAGAGAAUAAAAAAAUUAAAUUUUGAAUGACACAUGUAAACACCUGAUCGUUUGACUUGGCACGUGGCACAAUCUUAUGAAUUAGCAACUUUGAAAACCAUACUUUAUAUAAUAAGAUAUAUAUAUAUUUUUAAGUGGUUUUAAAAUCUGGAGUUUUUUUUUACAUAUGUUUGAAGUCAAUAACAAUAAGGUGCCUAACCUACACGGAU
rnacentral:sRNA from 1 species